rnacentral:rRNA from 1 species
UAGAGUUUGAUCCUGGCUCAGAACGUACGCUGGCGGCACGCCUAACACAUGCAAGUCGAACGAAGUAGCAAUACUUAGUGGCAGACGGGUGAGUAACAUGUAGGUAUCUGCCCUUUGGCCUGGAAUAACACGAGGAAACUUGUGCUAAUACCGGAUAAGUCUUUACGGAGAAAGCUUUAUGCACCAUUGGAUGAGCCUGCACUUGAUUAGUUUGUUGGUGGGGUAAUGGCCUACCAAGACUGUGAUCAAUAGCUGAUUUGAGAGGAUGAUCAGCCACAUUGGGACUGAGACACGGCCCAAACUCCUACGGGAGGCAGCAGUGGGGAAUCUUGCACAAUGGAGGAAACUCUGAUGCAGCGAUGCCGCGUGAGUGAAGAAGGCCCUUGGGUUGUAAAGCUCUUUCGUCGGGAAAGAAAAUGACUGUACCCGAAUAAGAAGGUCCGGCUAACUUCGUGCCAGCAGCCGCGGUAAUACGAAGGGACCUAGCGUAGUUCGGAAUUACUGGGCUUAAAGAGUUCGUAGGUGGUUGAAAAAGUUAGUGGUGAAAUCCCAGAGCUUAACUCUGGAACUGCCAUUAAAACUUUUCAGCUAGAGUAUGAUAGAGGAAAGCAGAAUUUCUAGUGUAGAGGUGAAAUUCGUAGAUAUUAGAAAGAAUACCAAUUGCGAAGGCAGCUUUCUGGAUCAUUACUGACACUGAGGAACGAAAGCAUGGGUAGCGAAGAGGAUUAGAUACCCUCGUAGUCCAUGCCGUAAACGAUGUGUGUUAGACGUUGGAAAUUUAUUUUCAGUGUCGCAGGGAUACCGAUAAACACACCGCCUGGGGAGUACGACCGCAAGGUUAAAACUCAAAUGAAUUGACGGGGACCCGCACAAGUAGUGGAGCAUGUGGUUUAAUUCGAAGAUACGCGCAGAACCUUACCAACACUUGACAUGUUCGUCGCGACUCUAAGAGAUUAGAGUUUUCGGUUCGGCCGGACGAAACACAGGUGCUGCAUGGCUGUCGUCAGCUCGUGUCGUGAGAUGUUGGGUUAAGUCCCGCAACGAGCGCAACCCUCACUUUUAGUUGCCAUCAUUAAGUUGGGCACUCUGAAGGAACUGCCAGUGAUAAGCUGGAGGAAGGUGGGGAUGACGUCAAGUCCUCAUGGCCCUUACGUGUUGGGCUACACACGUGCUACAAUGGUAUCUACAACAGGAAGCAAGACUGCGAAGUUAAGCAAAUCCCUAAAAGAUACCUCAGUUCGGAUUGCACUCUGCAACUCGAGUGCAUGAAGCUGGAAUUACUAGUAAUCGUGGAUCAGCGUGCCACGGUGAAUGCGUUCCCGGGUCUUGUACACACCGCCCGUCACACCAUGGGAGUUGGUUCUACCUUAAGGCAAGGUUUCAAACCCUUGACCACGGUAUAGUCAGCGACUGGGGUGAAGUCGUAACAAGGUAACCA